UCCCUGUGGAGAAGCCUCAAGUUACAUGUCUUCAUCCAAUCUUGCAGAGUUCUGUCUAAUGCAGCAAGAUGCCUGCCUGUUUACUUUGUUCUUAGCUGUCUCCAGGCAUCCCAACUGUGCCUGUCCAUCAGUACUAAGGGUGAGGUGAGAGAGAAACUAGUUCCUUGGAAAACACACCAAAUGACCAGAAUGUUGAAGACAUAUUUCACUUCUCUUCUUUCUUCCUUGUCCAGAAGCCUCAUGUUCUUCACCUUCUCCCCUUUCUUGCACAGCCAUGUUGGAUGCAGUAAGCCACCCACUCCUUCCCUCUCUCCUUAGCUGUUACUGGACAUCCAAACUAUGCCAGUUUCAUCAGCACUCCAGAUGAGGCAAGACAGAAGCCAGUUCCUCCCUUGGGCAGAGUACCAAAAGCCUGGAGACAUUAGAUGCAUACGUCCUUCUCUUUUUCCAUCAGGAAGAAGUUACAAGACAAGAUGAUUUCACUGGGAGCUGAGUUUUGCCAGAUUUGGGGAAAUACUGUUGCAGGGUCUAUUUCUUCCUCUUAAAGUGUACCUUCCCUGGAGCUUCAACUUAAUGCCUGAAGUCCUCAGUGAGGUCCCUCCACUCUUCCUGUCUAAGCUGAAACUUCAACAUCUUCAGGAGUGUGUGACACCUGCGCAACAGUGCUUGGCAGCAGCACCAACAUGCCUCCUCUUUUCAUGAAACCAGCAGCUCAACACAGUUCAGAACUCCUGCUGGAGAGAUGAUUCAGCUGUUUGCAGGAAUAAGGCCCUCUGACUUUGUGAGUUUUCAGAGAUUUUUGUGCUGAUUCUUUCUCAUCUUUGUGGGUUUGUCUUCCUUCAGUCUUUGACAUUGCCAACCUUUUGAUUUUUGUUUGUUUGUUUGCUUGCUUUCAUCUUAUUUGAUUCCUUUGAGGUUUUGAUUGUGGUAUAAGGUGGAUUCAGUUGACUGGCUUCAUUUCUGGAAGAUUUUAGGAGAUCAACACUCUGCUCCCAAAUCCUGAACUGUGUGUUCUAACUGGGAGACAUAUAUUGGACCCCAACUUUGCUCUCUGGCUUCUCAAGGUUAGGAAUCUACUGAGCUGGGGGAAUUUGAGGUGUUCCCAGACCCCCAAGUCACUACACUCCAAUGGAUAGUGUCAGCUAAAGCCUUUCAUAGUGCAGUGACAGCAAGAUCCAUCCUCACAUUCCAGCAAUAGCAGUAGUGGAAGUUGUGGCAGAGUGCUAGUGGGUUCUGAGGUGCCUGCCUCCCUUGCAGCUUGGUUUGAGGGGAAGAUGGGGGCAGCUGGGGACCCCUGCUGGAGACUGUGUGAACAGCUGUGCCCAAGGUGGUAUUGGCUCAGGGGCCAGGCAGUGACAGGCACAAGUCUGGGUACCUUCUCUGUUCCCUUCAAGCAGGAGUGAUGGCUCAGGAUGGAGGAAGAUCCACUGUUCGCUGCAUAGUGUUAGUACAAGGGUGGGGUGCUUGUAGGUGUGGGGCUUGCUGGCUUUGUGCCCUCCAAGGCUCUGUCUGCAAUGGCAUUCUGGAGGGGAAGGGGAGGCGGAUUGGACUCCAGUAUGCUGUCAGUGCCAGGAAAGCAAAACCUACCUGCACAGACACACCAACAGAGCAUUCUGGGGGGGUUGCCUUGAGCCCAGGGGGAAGCUACAAUUUAGGGAGGGAGCAUGUAGGCUGGGGCCUCAACAUAGGUGCUGCCCCACUGGAGCUGUCUGCCAGUCCCACACAGUCUGCCAGCACAGAAACUAUAACACAGGCCCCAGACCACUCAGGGCUGCCCUGCAAGUAGGCAUAGGCAUGCUGGGGCUCUGGAAGAGGCCAGUAGACCAGGGAGUGCUCAGGUCAGACUGUCCCUAUCUAUUGGACAAGCCCCAUUUUGCAGUGUUCAGAUUCAGCAGUUCCUCUAGGGCUAAUGUUUCCUAUGGGAGCAAGUCAAGCCUAGCAGGAUGGCCAUCUCUGGCCUUAAUCUGCUACAGAUGCUCCUGUACCAAAACCUCUGGACUCCACAUCAGCUGGCUUACUGCUUCUACCACUUCUCUAAGCAGCUCUCCCUGCCAAUUCGAAUGCCUGCGGUGGUUGAGGGGUCUCCUGCCGGUGCUCUAGAGGCCUGUGGUGAAGGCAGAUUGCUCUUCGCCAUUUCAACUCACCCAUUCCUCUAGAGCCAUUGGUGGCCAAGAACGAGACUGGGUGCAAUUUAUCUACAUGUAGCAUUCCCAACGUUCUCCUCCUUCUGCCAGCUUCCCUGUCCUCCCUGUGUCCACUCUCGGGAAGACUGGUUAGGAGCAUGUCAGGAGCAUGCCAGUCGUCUCAGUCUCUAAGUAGGAGCUGUUCCACCUGUCUGCAUUUAGUUGGUCAUCUUACUGCAUAUGACUCUUUUGCUAUACCAAAACUAUGAUCAACAGCCAGUCCCAAAUGAAAGCAGUGAAUGAAAAGUUGUUAGGUUGCUAUAAGAAAAUGUGUUAAACAUAUGAUACCCACUGUUUGUCAGAAAUGCAAUAGCGACAGCCUGCCAGGGAGAAAACAGCAACUUACAAUAAUUUAUCUUAAGGUGAACUUAUCCUUUAUGCCAGUUUCAUCUUCUAAUAAUAGUAGAUUAAAAGGAUGAAACUAAAUUGUAUUUAGAAGUAUUUGGUUACAUACAUUCAUGAUUUUUAAUAAUAGAUAUGCUGCAUGCAUUAGAUGACCAGGCCCUUAUUUUUGUCAUGUAAGGUAACAUAUUCAAAGGUUCCAGGGAUCAGAACGUGGACUUCUUUGGGGUUUGGGGGCAUUAUUCAGCCUACCCCAAUAAAUCUGAGGUGAUUUAUAAGAAUGGCCUAGAAAAUAUGAUGUUCCAUAACUGUGACUACCAUGUUAUAAAUGUUAUACCAUGUUAUAAAUGAGCCAGUCAAAAGUUAUUUUCGCUGUCAAAGUCCAGUGUUUCUGAAAAAUGGAAACUGAAGAAAUCAAAAGUCAUUUUUGUUUUUUUCACAGAGGAACAACUUACGUAGUUCUUUUUCUUUUUA